UUACCAAAUUGCACACUUAACAUAACUGUUAAAUGUGCAAACUGGUAAUG
rnacentral:pre_miRNA from 1 species